UACGUAGGGACCAAGCGUUGUUCGGAUUUACUGGGCGUAAAGGGCGCGUAGGCGGCCAACUAAGUCAUACGUGAAAUCCCUCGGCUUAACCGGGGAACUGCGUCUGAUACUGGAUGGCUUGAGUUCGGGAGAGGGAUGCGGAAUUCCAGGUGUAGCGGUGAAAUGCGUAGAUAUCUGGAGGAACACCGGUGGCGAAGGCGGCAUCCUGGACCGAUACUGACGCUGAGGAGCGAAAGCCAGGGGAGCAAACGGG
rnacentral:rRNA from 1 species